AGGACUAACGCUGGCGGCGUGCCUAACACAUGCAAGUCGAACGGACUGUAGCAAUACAGUUAGUGGCAGACGGGUGAGUAACACGUAGAUAACCUACCCCUCCGUUGGGGAUAGCCACUGGAAACGGUGGGUAAAACCGAAUAUUCUCGCUUGAAGGCAUCUUCGUGUGAGGAAAACUUUGGUGUGGAGGGAAGGGUUUGCGACCUAUCAGCUAGUUGGUGAGGUAACGGCUCACCAAGGCGUCGACGGGUAACCGGUCUGAGAGGACGGUCGGUCACACUGGCACUGAGAUACGGGCCAGACUCCUACGGGAGGCAGCAGUGAGGGAUUUUGCACAAUGGAGGAAACUCUGAUGCAGCGACGCCGCGUGCGGGAUGAAGCCUUUCGGGGUGUAAACCGCUGUCAGUGGAGAAGAGUAUGGACGGUACCCACUGAGGAAGCAGUCGGCUAACUACGUGCCAGCAGCCGAC
rnacentral:rRNA from 1 species